AUACUCUUAGCGGUGGAUCACUCGGCUCGUGGAUCGAUGAAGAACGCAGCUAGCUGCGAUAACUAGUGCGAAUUGCAGACACAUUGAGCACAAAAAUUUCGAACGCAAAUUGCGCCAUCGGGUUUAUUCCCCUUGGCACGUCUGGCUGAGGGUCGGU
rnacentral:rRNA from 1 species